UGGCGGCUGUAGCGCGGUGGUCCCACCUGACCCCAUGCCGAACUCAGAAGUGAAACGCCGUAGCGCCGAUGGUAGUGUGGGGUCUCCCCAUGUGAGAGUAGGGAACUGCCAGACA
rnacentral:rRNA from 1 species